rnacentral:rRNA from 1 species
UCCAGAGAACUUAGCAGAGAUGCUUUGGUGGCCUUCGGGAACUCUGAGACAGGUGCUGCAUGGCUGUCGUCAGCUCGUGUUGUGAAAUGUUGGGUUAAGUCCCGNAACGAGCGCAACCCUUAUCCUUUGUUGCCAGCGGUUCGGCCGGGAACUCAAAGGAGACUGCCGGUGAUAAACCGGAGGAAGGUGGGGAUGACGUCAAGUCAUCAUGGCCCUUACGGCCAGGGCUACACACGUGCUACAAUGGCGCAUACAAAGAGAAGCGACCUCGCGAGAGCAAGCGGACCUCAUAAAGUGCGUCGUAGUCCGGAUUGGAGUCUGCAACUCGACUCCAUGAAGUCGGAAUCGCUAGUAAUCGUAGAUCAGAAUGCUACGGUGAAUACGUUCCCGGGCCUUGUACACACCGCCCGUCACACCAUGGGAGUGGGUUGCAAAAGAAGUAGGUAGCUUAACCUUCGGGAGGGCGCUUACCACUUUGUGAUUCAUGACUGGGGUGAAGUCGUAACAAGGUAAGCGUAGCGAG